GCAUGCAAGUCAAACGGGAUGUAGCAAUACAUCUAGUGGCGAACGGGUGAGUAACGCGUGGAUGAUCUACCUAUGAGAUGGGGAUAACUACUAGAAAUAGUAGCUAAUACCGAAUAAAGUCAAUUAAUUUGUUAAUUGAUGAAAGGAAGCCUUUAAAGCUUCGCUUGUAGAUGAGUCUGCGUCUUAUUAGCUAGUUGGUAGGGUAAAUGCCUACCAAGGCGAUGAUAAGUAACCGGCCUGAGAGGGUGAACGGUCACACUGGAACUGAGAUACGGUCCAGACUCCUACGGGAGGCAGCAGCUAAGAAUCUUCCGCAAUGGGCGAAAGCCUGACGGAGCGACACUGCGUGAAUGAAGAAGGUCGAAAGAUUGUAAAAUUCUUUUAUAAAUGAGGAAUAAGCUUUGUAGGAAAUGACAAAGUGAUGACGUUAAUUUAUGAAUAAGCCCCGGCUAAUUACGUGCCAGCAGCCGCGGUAAUACGUAAGGGGCGAGCGUUGUUCGGGAUUAUUGGGCGUAAAGGGUGAGUAGGCGGAUAUAUAAGUCUAUGCAUAAAAUACCACAGCUCAACUGUGGAACUAUGUUGGAAACUAUAUGUCUAGAGUCUGAUAGAGGAAGUUAGAAUUUCUGGUGUAA
rnacentral:rRNA from 1 species